GUCACUUGUGGAGUCAGAAUCGAUUAGUUCAUAUUUAUCUUAGUUCAUACUAGUAGAAUUACACACAGAAAGAGACCACUUAGGAAAUAGAAUCGAACUUCAAAGUACAGUACCCUCAAUUGUUUAACUAAAUGAGAGAGUAACAAAUUUAAGAGACCAAAUUUUUCUCAAGGAGGGAGAGUAGUAAUGCCCAGGCUCGAAAAUCGGCCUGUGAUGAU
rnacentral:lncRNA from 1 species